rnacentral:rRNA from 1 species
GAUGAACGCUGGCGGCGUGCCUAAUACAUGCGAGUCGAGCGAACGGACGAGAAGCUUGCUUCUCUGAUGUUAGCGGCGGACGGGUGAGUAACACGUGGAUAACCUACCUAUAAGACUGGGAUAACUUCGGGAAACCGGAGCUAAUACCGGAUAAUAUUUUGAACCGCAUGGUUCAAAAGUGAAAGACGGUCUUGCUGUCACUUAUAGAUGGAUCCGCGCUGCAUUAGCUAGUUGGUAAGGUAACGGCUUACCAAGGCAACGAUGCAUAGCCGACCUGAGAGGGGGAGCGGCCACACUGGAACUGAGACACGGUCCAGACUCCGACGGGAGGCAGCAGUAGGGAAUCUGCCGCAAGGGGCGAAAGCCUGACGGAGCAACGCCGCGUGAGUGAUGAAGGUCUUCGGAUCGUAAAACUCUGUUAUGAGGGAAGAACAUAUGUGUAAGUAACUGUGCACAUCUUGACGGUACCUAAUCAGAAAGCCACGGCUAACUACG